CGGGGCUUCCGGAUUAUUGGGCGUAAGAGCUCGUAGGCGGUUUGUCGCGUCUGCCGUGAAAGUCCGGGGCUCAACUCCGGAUCUGCGGUGGGUACGGGCAGACUAGAGUGAUGUAGGGGAGACUGGAAUUCCUGGUGUAGCGGUGAAAUGCGCAGAUAUCAGGAGGAACACCGAUGGCGAAGGCAGGUCUCUGGGCAUUAACUGACGCUGAGGAGCGAAAGCAUGGGGAGCGAACAGGAUUAGAUACCCUGGUAGUCCAUGCCGUAAACGUUGGGCACUAGGUGUGGGGGACAUUCCACGUUUUCCGCGCCGUAGCUAACGCAUUAAGUGCCCCGCCUGGGGAGUACGGCCGCAAGGCUAAAACUCAAAGGAAUUGACGGGGGCCCGCACAAGCGGCGGAGCAUGCGGAUUAAUUCGAUGCAACGCGAAGAACCUUACCAAGGCUUGACAUGGGCCGGACCGGGCUGGAAACAGUCCUUCCCCUUUGGGGCCGGUUCACAGGUGGUGCAUGGUUGUCGUCAGCUCGUGUCGUGAGAUGUUGGGUUAAGUCCCGCAACGAGCGCAACCCUCGUUCCAUGUUGCCAGCGCGUAAUGGCGGGGACUCAUGGGAGACUGCCGGGGUCAACUCGGAGGAAGGUGGGGACGACGUCAAAUCAUCAUGCCCCUUAUGUCUUGGGCUUCACGCAUGCUACAAUGGCCGGUACAAAGGGUUGCGAUACUGUGAGGUGGAGCUAAUCCCAAAAAGCCGGUCUCAGUUCGGAUUGGGGUCUGCAACUCGACCCCAUGAAGUCGGAGUCGCUAGUAAUCGCAGAUCAGCAACGCUGCGGUGAAUACGUUCCCGGGCCUUGUACACACCGCCCGUCAAGUCACGAAAGUUGGUAACACCCGAAGCCGGUGGCCUAACCCCUUGUGGGAGGGAGCUGUCGAAGUGGGACUGGCGAUUGGGACUAAGUCGUAACAAGGUAAC
rnacentral:rRNA from 1 species